rnacentral:rRNA from 1 species
CUCCGUGUCGUGAGAUGUUGGGUUAAGUCCGCAACGAGCGCAACCCUUUUCCUUAUUUGCCAGCGGGUAAUGCCGGGAACUUUAAGGAUACUGCCAGUGACAAACUGGAGGAAGGCGGGGACGACGUCAAGUCAUCAUGGCCCUUACGGCCAGGGCUACACACGUGCUACAAUGGUCGGUACAAAGGGUUGCUACCUCGCGAGAGGAUGCUAAUCUCAAAAAGCCGAUCGUAGUCCGGAUCGCAGUCUGCAACUCGACUGCGUGAAGUCGGAAUCGCUAGUAAUCGCGGAUCAGAAUGCCGCGGUGAAUACGUUCCCGGGCCUUGUACACACCGCCCGUCACACCAUGGGAGUUUGUUGCACCAGAAGUAGGUAGUCUAACCGCAAGGAGGACGCUUACCACGGUGUGGCCGAUGACUGGGGUGAAGUCGUAACAAGGUAAGCGUAGAUGA